rnacentral:rRNA from 1 species
GCGCCAGACUCCUACGGGAGGCAGCAGUGGGGAAUAUUGGACAAUGGGGGGAACCCUGAUCCAGCGACGCCGCGUGAGUGAAGAAGUAUUUCGGUAUGUAAAGCUCUAUCAGCAGGGAAGAAAGAAAUGACGGUACCUGACUAAGAAGCCCCGGCUAACUACGUGCCAGCAGCCGCGGUAAUACGUAGGGGGCAAACGUUAUCCGGAUUUACUGGGUGUAAAGGGAGCGUAGACGGCGAUGCAAGUCUGAAGUGAAAGGCGGGGGCCCAACCCCCGGACUGCUUUGGAAACUGUAUAGCUGGAGUGCAGGAGAGGUAAGUGGAAUUCCUAGUGUAGCGGCGAAAUGCGUAGAUAUUAGGAAGAACACCAGUGGCGAAGGCGGAUUACUGGACGACAACUGACGGUGAGGCGCGAAAGCGUGGGGAGCAAACAGGAUUAGAUACCCGUGUAUG